rnacentral:lncRNA from 1 species
AUCGUGUCCGCCAUCUUGGGGCGACGGCCAGAAGUCCAGGGCUAGGAGCCUCAGCCGGCGGACGCCAGGAAACAGCCAAGAACUGAACCAAAAUACAAACAACAUAAACUACCACUUGAUGAGAAGAACUUCAAAGUCAAAUUGCAAAAGGUGACUAAAAAAGGGGAGUACUUUCAGCCGUUUUCAAAAUAAUCUAUGAUAUGUACUGGAAAACUUCUAAUAAUCCUUGUCAUUUUACAACUUUCCCACAGUUAGAUCAUCAGCAAAUGUCACUUGGAUCCCUAGCUAAAUUGUUCUUCCCAGAAAAUAGUUAUCUCCACUAUGGAAAGUAUUUUAUCAGAAGAAUUCGUAGAAGUAGAAUCUGUUUGUCUUCAGUUAAACAAAAGAAGAACCUCAUUGCUUUCCAACUGGGCCCCGGCCAUUUUCCAGUUGAAACAUCAAAUAUUUUAUUUGUGUCUUUCACUGCCAAUUAAAGGGCAACAGAAAUGGUACAGGCUCCCUCUGCAGUGGAAUUACCCUUAUGUCUUUUCUGUCUAUGCUGAUCCACCUGAUCUUGAACUGGUGCUAUUCCAUGGGGAAAAUUGGAACAUGGGGCAAUUAACACUUUCUCCACUUUAUCCCAUCAACAGGAAAUUGAAAUAUAACCAACUAACUCAGGAGACAUCAUGGAAGAUGUCACACAGUGAAUGAUGAUGAAGCAGAAUUUUUAAAAUGUGUAGGAUUACGAGAAGUGGGGUCAUUUUUCUUUGUGUAUGGUAUUGCUGAUGCAGUUUAAUGCUCCAUUACUUCUAAAUUUUCAUCAUAAGCUAGAUUUUCCAGUUGUGGUUUCUAUAAAGAAAAACAAACAUUCUGAAGACAGUUUUUCCAGAUUUAUUCCAGAUAUCGAUGAUUAACUUUUGAAGCUCCUCUGUUGAUUUGAACAUCCGCUGAAGCUUAUUUUUCACCUCAGAAUAGCAUCAACAUUAUUUGAAAUUCAAUUGUACUUUCUCGUUACAUUAAUAAAUCAUGGAAGUUGAGAAAAU